AACGAACGCUGGCGGCAUGCCUAACACAUGCAAGUCGAACGAGACCUUCGGGUCUAGUGGCGCACGGGUGCGUAACGCGUGGGAACCUGCCCUUAGGUUCGGAAUAACUCCCCGAAAGGGGUGCUAAUACCGGAUAAUGUCUUCGGACCAAAGAUUUAUCGCCUUUGGGUGGGCCCGCGUUGGAUUAGCUAGUUGGUAGGGUAAAAGCCUACCAAGGCGACGAUCCAUAGCUGGUCUGAGAGGAUGAGCAGCCACACUGGGACUGAGACACGGCCCAGACUCCUACGGGAGGCAGCAGUGGGGAAUAUUGGACAAUGGGCGAAAGCCUGAUCCAGCAAUGCCGGGUGAGUGAUGAAGGCCGUAGGGUUGUAAAGCUCUUUUACCCGGGAUGAUAAUGACAGUACCGGGAGAAUAAGCUCCGGCUAACUCCGUG
rnacentral:rRNA from 1 species